rfam:Protomyces lactucaedebilis strain 12-1054 BCR37scaffold_16, whole genome shotgun sequence.
GGCCUGAUGGUCUAGUGGUAUGAUUUGCGUUUUGGGUACGCAAGGUCACGAGUUCAAUUCUCGUUCAGGCCC